rnacentral:lncRNA from 1 species
CGUGGAAGCGAUAGAAAGAGUUGUGAAAAAGCGAUUUUGCUUGCCCCUCGACGCAGUGAAAAUCCCGUUUCCCGGUGUCGAGGCCCGGCUUUUGGUCUGCGCAAUCUUCAAUGUGUAACAACGCAAGGAGGGCCAACAGAGCCUGCCGGAGUUGCUGGCUCUAACUUGACAAAUCUGCACAAAACGAAUCGUAGACUCGACUGGAGCCUCCAGUGGUAGAUCUCUGGUUGUGAAUUUCCGUCUGCUUUUUGGGAGGCAACUCUACGGGCAAGUUCACACGGCGUCUGCAGCAUCACUACUAGCACCUGAAACUCAGAAAACCCAGAUCCAACCGUUUUGCUGGCUUCCGCUUCCUGCGGACGCGGUUUUCUCCCAUUUUCUUCACCGCUGGUUCCUCGUUUCGCGCGUGGCUUUCCUCUCUAGCAAAUCUGAUCGAUCGUUUUAUAGGGACCUGUUGUUUCCCGCUGCGCCUUCUCCGGAUUCCUCUCCUAUCUGUAACAUUCUUCCCGAGUCCGAUUCUGAAGCCGUGUGUCUGCUACUACCCUUCUCGACCGUAUUAGUUCCUACGUCUCGCGUAUCACGUUCCCUCUCCGUCGUCGAGGGAUUCUGGGAUCUUCAUUGGCAACACUCAAGUCAGAGGACGACGGUCCCAGCGCGCCUGCAGGUUUUCCUCGUGUCUUUCAAGUUUUCUGAAAACCGUCCAGGAUGUCCGAAAAGCAGUUUUUCAGUGCUGCAGAACUUGCGCUGGACGACGGGUAUCCGACGGAGGCGCCGUCCACGGAAUCCUCUGACGACGAGGACUUCGUCGUCACUUGGAACGAACGCCGGGGGACUUUGGAAGCACCGCCUCGCCGCGGCGGCCGCGUUCCGCCCAAAAGGCUGAGGUGUGUAUCCGUGUUUGAGAAAGACGAGAAAAGGCGCAAGCGAAACGGAUGUUGUGAAGAGCCGGCGAGUGACUUCCUUUACCUGGACCUGCGGGGCGGCGGCGGCCGACGUCCGGCUGGCCGGCCCUUCGAUGACAUGGAAGAUCACCCCGGCAUGUAUUCAGCGAGAAACCCUGAGAAAUGUCAAAGGGUCCGCCAAACCACGUGCGAGUGCUGUGACUUGGCUGUUGUCGACGAGACAGCCGCGUGCAUUGCGUGGAGAUGCGGCUGUGAGCCUGCGUCCAAUCUCUCUCACGGAAACGAGUGUUCUGUCUGCAGCUCCCUCGAUCUUUCCGACGUACCCCUGCUCGCUUAAAGAAUGGCAGAUAGAGGAAACGCGACUGGCUGCUCAUGCGUGAGUCUCUUUUUUUCCGCUGGGACUUAUGCGGAGCAUCGCGCCGCCGGAGACUGAGCGAGCGAAGGGAAGGCCUUUCGAUGAGGUCUUCUCCGUCCAACUUUGACUUCCAGAUCACCUUUUUAGAUGGUUGAAGCAGGGAACCCGCUCUUGGCGAACUAGCGCUAACCAUGUGUAGACCACCAGGUGGGAGGCGAAAGCCAAUGCUGUGCGCAGUGAAGACGCGUAGAAAGGCAUGCAGGGAAACUGGUGGUGCCACUGUGAGGUGAAUCGAACACACAGGAAAAGGUAAUUUGAUGAGAGCGGAUGAGCUGGCGUACGUGGAACGGGCGAGCGAAAAAGCUGGAGCAGCAGCAACAAUGACGUAGCAGGUUUUUUCUCUGAAUGUGUUUCACGCAGUUGUUUUUAACCGGACGAGGUCUCUGGAAAUAUACACGUUUCGUCUGCGAACUACGUUUGGUAUCUGCAUAUCGGGUCAGGAACGAAUGCGAGGGCUGGACAGGAGACACUUUUGAGGUGUGCGCUGCGUUUUUAAGGCUGUACCUGUUUUUUCUUCGAAUGUGCGGUUAUACAAAACACAAACUCUUCUCUGAUGCACGAUCUUUUACAGACCUGCGCUUAGUAGCGGCAGUUCGAGACAGAUCUCCCCAU